rnacentral:rRNA from 1 species
GAUGAACGCUGGCGGCGUGCUUAAUACAUGCAAGUCGAGCGAACGGACGAGAAGCUUGCUUCUCUGAUGUUGGCGGCGGACGGGUGAGUAACACGUGGAUAACCUACCUAUAAGACUGGGAUAACUUCGGGAAACCGGAGCUAAUACCGGAUAAUAUUUUGAACCGCAUGGUUCAAAAGUGAAAGACGGUCUUGCUGUCACUUAUAGAUGGAUCCGCGCUGCAUUAGCUAGUUGGUAAGGUAACGGCUUACCAAGGCAACGAUGCAUAGCCGACCUGAGAGGGUGAUCGGCCACACUGGAACUGAGACACGGUCCAGACUCCUACGGGAGGCAGCAGUAGGGAAUCUUCCGCAAUGGGCGAAAGCCUGACGGAGCAACGCCGCGUGAGUGAUGAAGGUCUUCGGAUCGUAAAACUCUGUUAUUAGGGAAGAACAUAUGUGUAAGUAACUGUGCACAUCUUGACGGUACCUAAUCAGAAAGCCACGGCUAACUACGUG